rnacentral:rRNA from 1 species
UACGUAGGGUGCGAGCGUUGUCCGGAAUUAUUGGGUGUAAAGAGCUCGUAGGCGGUCUGUCGCGUCGAUCGUGAAAACUUGGGGCUUAACCCUGAGCUUGCGGUCGAUACGGGCAUGACUGGAGUUCGGCAGGGGAGACUGGAAUUCCUGGUGUAGCGGUGAAAUGCGCAGAUAUCAGGAGGAACACCGGUGGCGAAGGCGGGUCUCUGGGCCGAUACUGACGCUGAGGAGCGAAAGCGUGGGGAGCGAACAGG